AGUUGUGCAGUUGAGUUGUUGACAGACAGCGGCCAGGGGAGGAGAGGAGAGGAGAGGCUUACCUGCUCAGAGGUUCUGAUUGGUUGGACGGAGAAGUGAGGAGAGUUAAAGGGUCCCGGGGUGGUCUGGGUGGUAGAGGGGUCUCGGUCCAGGC